UGGACAGAUUAUUGUAUUCGACUGUAUUCAUGGCGUGAAACAGGGGAUUACACUGUUUUUGAAUGGAAAGUGAAUCAAUUAACAUAAUCAAUUCCU
rfam:Nicotiana attenuata strain TT chromosome 1, whole genome shotgun sequence.